CCUACGGGAGGCAGCAGUGAGGAAUAUUGGUCAAUGGCCGGGAGGCUGAACCAGCCAAGUCGCGUGAGGGAAGACGGCCCUACGGGUUGUAAACCUCUUUUGUCAGGGAGCAAGGUGCAGGUCGGGACCUGCUGUGAGCGUACCUGAAGAAAAAGCAUCGGCUAACUCCGUACCAGCCGCCGCGGUAAUACGGAGGAUGCGAGCUGUAUCCGGAUUUAUUGGGUUUAAAGGGUGCGCAGGCGGAGGCACAAGUCAGCGGGAAAAUCGCGGGGCGCAACCCCGCUCCGGCGGUGAAACUGUGUCCCUUGAGUGCGCGAAGGGUAGGCGGAAUGCGUGGUGUAGCGGUGAAAUGCAUAGAUAUGACGCAGAACUCCGAUCGCGAAGGCAGCCUACCGGCGCGCAACUGACGCUCAUGCACGAAAGCGUGGGUAUCGAACAGGAUUAGAUACCCCGGUAGUC
rnacentral:rRNA from 1 species